AGGGGAAGUGCCAGAGGAGAAGCUUUCCAUCCAACGCGCUGUGGGGAUUUAUUAACUUCAGAGAUCUAAAAUAAUGCUUUUUAUCUUGCAAGUAAAAUAGCUCUUAACUACCUCUCCACCGCCCUACACUUGAAGGCCUACAUCAAUCAUGGAAAAGGGGCGCAUGUAAUCGAUACCUCUAUAUCGCCGAGCUCCCAGACCAUACGGGAUAUCGAAUAAAUUCCACAGGUGCAGCCAGGUCGCUGUCUCCUCUCCCCUGGCCGGCUCUGGACAGGCAGACUCACGGCACAUGGAAAGCAUCAGCCUGGGUCCGAGCAGGGGAUGCACAGCCUGGAUGAAGACGAAGGGUUUAAAACAGAGAAACCAAACUACCCUCAGCUGGACGACAAAGGAACUACACGGGCUAAUCGAGUCUGGACAUUAUUGCAUCUCCUGCAUGGCCCAGUGAUAAAUGGACUAUUCUCAUGGUGGCAGAGUUAUUAUUUAUAUUUAUUGAAAAAAAUAUUAGUCCUUGGUUUUACCGCACAUUUGUAUGAAAAUAGUAAAUCUGCCCAUUACAUGUUUCAGAUGCUUAUAAGCCUGCAAAUCGAUUGCGUCACGUUUAACUUAAAGGCUAUACUUUUCUUUUUGGAAAAUCAACAUUGAUGUUAUUGUUCUAAUUGCAAUUAUACUAUUUUAUCGCUUUCAUUUUAUUUUUGUUUGUGUUUUAAAUGCGUUCUCGUUUUUUAACAUGCAGAAUGAGAAUUGCAUACAAUUAACGUGUAGACCUAUUGGCAAAUAUCCCCUUAAGCCGAUAAAUAAUAAAAGUAAGGGAAAGAAUAUAUAUUUAUAAAUACUAUCGGCUAUUGUUGAUUGCAUUUCUAUUUUUAAUAAUAAAUGUUUUACUUUUUCAUUGCGAUUUAGGCUAUCACAUUUUUUCGAUUUAUUAAAACCUUUAUGGAAAUACCUAUAACAUUAUUUGGCAUUUGUAUAAUUAUUAUUUUAAGCUAUGGACCAUUCGAAUCAGCGCAAACGACAAUGUAUAGCCCUAUUGUCCUGCAAGUAAUUAUCGUAGACUAUACAUUUAAUUUGGAAAAGCGGUUUAUUUAUUAUUCAUUAAUGUAAGUUAUUAUAACUGCCAUAAGUUCAUCCCAUUAUGUUCCAGCUAUUGGCUAACAUUUAUAUUGUUUCAGUAUGCCUGUAUAUGACAGUGAUAUGUCUAAUUGUGGUUCUAAAGUCUAUUCGAAUUGGAUACAAUUGUGGAUAUGCAAUUGACCCAAUCAUUAUAAUGUUGUUUCAUCUUACAAGCGAUAUAUGUCAAAUGUCUCGUUUCACUAACAUAAACUCAUCGUUUUUUCUUUCACUGCAUUUUUUAUAUUCUGCUAGUUAAUUUACGACGGUGUUCAAAAAAUAUUUAAAUGAUAGUGAAAAAAGAAAAUUCCAAAACAAAUAUAUAAUUUAAGUAAUUGUGCAUAUUUUUUACACGCAUGUUUAUCAAGCAUAAUUAUUUUUCUUCCUAUAUGGUGGACAGUAGUCUAAACUAAUUUGCUUAAUUAUCAUUCGAUUGAUGUUGGCAAUGUGCAGCGACCCUUCACGGUAAAUAUUGAUGUUGGUGUUGAGUGUCAUCAAGGGAACCGGCUCCUAAAACGAGUUUGUUCGUUCACAUUUCUGAAAUAUGCUUCAAAGCAUCUAAUUUCCCUGCAUUCAUGUUUAGUGUUCUGAUAAGAAAUAUGUAUUUUAAAUUCAAACCAUAAACUAUCCUUUUAAGCACAAACUUGAACUAUUAAUAUCUUCAGAUGUGCUUGAAAUGUUUCACCGGAACAGUCUGUCUUGUUUUGUUGAAUAGUGAUGAACCUGAACCGAAUGAACCUGUUGUGACUAAUCGUUUUGUGAGUUCUAUCGUUACUUGCAUGGAAGUAAUUAGACGUUGGCCAGCAAAUGCAUUUAGUAGUACAGAAACAACUGAGAGGGAUGGGCAGUCUAUACUUGUAAGAAUGACAUACUAAUGAUAAUAGUGUACAUAACUACUACAUAAUAGUGCAGUUAUUUCUAUCAAACAAGCGAAAUCGGAGUUUUGGUGGCCAUAUUGUUAUUGAGGAAUCUGUCUCUGCUAGGCUACAUUAUUUUCAACUUUCACAAUUACAUUUUUUCUUUACUGUGACAUGCAGUAUUUAUGACCACUAUGCUGCCCUCCAUUUACAUAAUCACACUUGGCCAAUGUUGAAAAUCAAUAUAGUAAACCUCGGAUGGAUUUCUAAAUUUUUUAUUGAAGGGGAUUUAUAACCUUGUAUUUCACUUGAGGAGCCCAGCCCUCUCAAACACACACACACACACACACACACACACACACACACACACACACACACACACACACACACACACACACACACACACACACACACACACACACACACACACACACACACACACACUCACAUU